rnacentral:tRNA from 1 species
GCCCCCGUAGCUCAAGUGGACAGAGCGGCUGCCUUCUAAGCAGUAGGUUCCAGGUUCGAGUCCUGGCGGGGGCGCCA